GAUGAACGCUGACAGAAUGCUUAACACAUGCAAGUCAACUGUGGCGGACGGGUGAGUAACGCGUAAAGAACUUGCCUCCCAGUUAGGGACAACAUUUGGAAACGAAUGCUAAUACCUGAUACUGUGAGAGAGCUUUGCGUCCCAUUAGCUAGUUGGAGAGGUAACGGCUCACCAAUGCGAUGAUGGGUAGCCGGCCUGAGAGGGUGAUCGGCCACAAGGGGACUGAGACAUGGCCCUUACUCCUAAGGGAGGCAGCAGUGGUGAAUAUUGGACAAUGGACAAAAGUCUGAUCCAUCAAUUCUGUGUGCACGAUGAAGUUUUCGGAAUGUAAAGUGCUUUCGGUGGGUAAGCGGUACCAACAGAAGAAGUGGCGGCUAAAUACGUGCCAGCAGCCGCGGUAAUAC
rnacentral:rRNA from 1 species